CAGAGGCCGCGGUGAACGCUCCUCCUCCUCCCGCGGCUCCAGAGGCCGCGGUGAACGCUCCUCCUCCUCCCGCGGCUCCAGAGGCCGCGGUGGUACCUGCUCCUCCUCCCGCGGCUCCUGAGGCCGCGGUGGUGCCCCCUCCCCCUCCCGCGGCUCCAGAGGCCGCGGUGGUACCUGCUCCUCCUCCCGCGGCUCCUGAGGCCGCGGUGGUGCCCCCUCCCCCUCCCGCGGCCCCAGCGGCGGUGGCGGUGCCCCCUGCCCCGGCACCAGCACCAGCUCCAGCCCCAGCGCUGGCCGCGCCCGCACCUCCAGCACCAGCUCCAGUCCCAGCGCUGGCCGCGCCCGCACCUCCAGCACCAGCUCCAGUCCCAGCGCUGGCCGCGCCCGCACCUCCAGCCCCAGCGCUGGCAGUGCCCGUUCCUCCAGCCCCGGCACCAGCCCCGGUGGCUCCUCUGGCUCCAGCAGCACGCUCUCCCCC
rnacentral:lncRNA from 1 species